GAUGAACGCUGGCGGCGUGCCUAAUACAUGCAAGUCGAGCGAACAGACGAGGAGCUUGCUCCUCUGACGUUAGCGGCGGACGGGUGAGUAACACGUGGAUAACCUACCUAUAAGACUGGGAUAACUUCGGGAAACCGGAGCUAAUACCGGAUAAUAUAUUGAACCGCAUGGUUCAAUAGUGAAAGACGGUUUUGCUGUCACUUAUAGAUGGAUCCGCGCCGCAUUAGCUAGUUGGUAAGGUAACGGCUUACCAAGGCAACGAUGCGUAGCCGACCUGAGAGGGUGAUCGGCCACAUGGGAACUGGGACACGGUCCAGACUCCUACGGGAGGCAGCAGUAGGGAAUCUUCCGCAAUGGGCGAAAGCCUGACGGAGCAACGCCGCGUGAGUGAUGAAGGUCUUCGGAUCGUAAAACUCUGUUAUUAGGGAAGAACAAAUGUGUAAGUAACUAUGCACGUCUUGACGGUACCUAAUCAGAAAGCAACGGCUAACUACGUG
rnacentral:rRNA from 1 species